ACAGAUCGUUCAGAGUUUGAUCCUGGCUCAGGAUGAACGCUAGCGACAGGCUUAACACAUGCAAGUCGAGGGGCAGCGGGGUUUUAGCUUGCUAAAACUGCCGGCGACCGGCGCACGGGUGAGUAACACGUAUGCAACCUGCCCAUUGCAGGGGGAUAAGCGGAAGAAAUUCCGUCUAAUACCGCGUAAUAUCCUUUGGAGGCAUCUUCAUAGGAUUAAAGAAAUUCGGCAAUGGGUGGGCAUGCGGCGCAUUAGCUAGUUGGCGGGGUAACGGCCCACCAAGGCGACGAUGCGUAGGGGUUCUGAGAGGAAGGUCCCCCACACUGGGACUGAGACACGGCCCUU
rnacentral:rRNA from 1 species